GAACGCUGGCGGCGUGCCUAAUACAUGCAAGUCGAACGGAGGAUGUAGCAAUAUAUCCUUAGUGGCGAACGGGUGAGUAACGCGUGGGUGACCUGCCCCAAAGUGUGGGAUAACAGUUCGAAAGGAUUGCUAAUACCGCAUGUGGUCACAGGAAUUAGAAACCUGUGUCCAAAGGAGUAAUCCGCUUUGGGAGGGGCCUGCGUCCCAUCAGCUAGUUGGUAGGGUAAUGGCCUACCAAGGCGUCGACGGGUAGGGGACCUGAGAGGGUGGCCCCCCACAAUGGAACUGAAACACGGUCCAUACACCUACGGGUGGCAGCAGUAGGGAAUAUUGGUAAUCUACGAAAGUGGGAACCAGCAACGCCGCGUGUGCGAUGAAGGCCUUCGGGUCGUAAAGCACUUUUUGAGAGGAUGAGGAAGGACAGUACUCUCAGAAUAAGUCUCGGCUAACUACGUGCCAGCAGCCGCGGUAAAACGUAGGAGACGAGCGUUAUCCGGAUUUACUGGGCGUAAAGCGCGUGCAGGCGGUUUGGUAAGUUGGGUGUGAAAGCUCCUGGCUCAACUGGGAGAGGUCAUUCAAUACUGCCGGACUAGAGGAUGGUAGAGGGAGGUGGAAUUCCGAGUGUAGUGGUGAAAUGCGUAGAUAUUCGGAGGAACACCAGUGGCGAAAGCGGCCUCCUGGACCAUAUCUGACGCUCAGACGCGAAAGCUAGGGGAGCAAACGGGAUUAGAGACCCCGGUAGUCCUAGCAGUAAACUAUGUAGACUUGGCGUCGGUGGGUUUAAAUCCAUCGGUGCCGCAGCUAACGCGAUAAGUCUACCGCCUGGGGACUACGGCCCGCAGGUUAAAACU
rnacentral:rRNA from 1 species